AUUAUCCGUAUGUAAUUUAUAUACGGAUUAUUCGUAUAUAACAUUAGCUACGACAGUAUUAUAUACGGAUUUUUGUCCGUAUGUAAUUCGUAUAUAACCAAAAAUUAUAUACGGAUUUUAGGCCUUAUAUACGGAUUUGGGCGGUAGAUAAUGACGUUUUUUCUUGUAGUGGGAAAACAUCAAAAUUUACUUCUUCAUCUUGUACUCUCACUUUUAGCUUGCCAUUUUCUACAUCAAUUAGAACUUUUGCAGUCUUCACGAAAGGUCUUCCAAGAAUCAAAGGAACAUUCACAUCUUCUUCCAUCUCCAUGAUAACAAAAUCAACAGGAAACAGGAACUUGUCUACUUUUACUAACACGUCCUCUACCACCCCA
rnacentral:lncRNA from 1 species